UACGUAGGGGGCGAGCGUUGUCCGGAUUUAUUGGGCGUAAAGAGCUCGUAGGCGGUUUGGCAAGUCGGGUGUGAAAACUCCGGCUCAACUCGGAGACGCCACUCGAUACUGCCAUGACUCGAGUCCGGUAGGGGAGUGCGGAAUUCCUGGUGUAGCGGUGAAAUGCGCAGAUAUCAGGAGGAACACCGGUGGCGAAGGCGGCACUCUGGGCCGGUACUGACGCUGAGGAGCGAAAGCGUGGGGAGCGAACAGG
rnacentral:rRNA from 1 species